CCUACGGGAGGCAGCAGUGGGGAAUAUUGCACAAUGGGGGAAACCCUGAUGCAGCGACGCCGCGUGAGUGAAGAAGUAUUUCGGUAUGUAAAGCUCUAUCAGCAGGGAAGAACAUGUCGGUAACUGAUUAAGAAGACCCGGCUAACUACGGGCCAGCAGCCGCGGUAAUACGUAGGGGGCAAGCGUUCUCCGGAUUUUCUGGGGGUAAAGGGAGCGUAGAGGGCAGCACAAGUCCUGAGUGAAAUGCCUGGGCUUAACCCCGGGACUGCUUUGGAAACUGGGCAGCUAGAGUGCAGGAGAGGUAAGUGGAAUUCCUAGUGUAGCGGUGAAAUGCGUAGAUAUUAGGAGGAACACCAGUGGCGAAGGCGGCUUACUGGACUGAAACUGACGUUGAGGCUCGAAAGCGUGGGGAGCAAACAGGAUUAGAUACCCCAGUAGUC
rnacentral:rRNA from 1 species